ACAGACACUGGGGGAUACACCGAAGGUAAGUAAAUGGGAAUAACCCUGGAAGGUUUGAGACCUAGACAGACAGAGGUGGUGGUGGCAGCAGCGAAGGUAGAGGAGCAGGCUUUGGCUCUGAUCCGCCUGGGCGACAGAAGAUGGGACAGCCGUAGGAAGUGUCAAGGCCUCAGGUAGCUAGCACCUUUCAAGUUGGCUCCUCGGCCUUUCCCAGAGGAAUGAUGAGAGGCCACACAUGUGCAGUAGGAGUGCAGGGUCUGACAGGCCUUUUGUCAUUAGGGGCACCACACCCCGCCUCGCAGGCCCAGUGGUGGAGGAGGGCUGGCUGGGCGGUGGCCACAUCUGCUGGGCAGUGUCGGGCUGGUAAGUGCAGUCCUGGUGUGGGUGACCUCCUGACCCACUCCUUACUCCCCAGCAUCCCUUGAGAGGGAUGAGGAGAAACACCAGUGGUUCCACAACUCAGAGAUUCCUGUUGUGAGAACUGUGUGAGUUCCGGUGACUGGGGUAUAGAUGUGAGUGGCCCCACCACCUCUCCCAGGCUUCACUGGGCAGCUCUCGGCAGGUGCACUAGGGCUUUCCAGAGCAGCUGUUCUCUCCACCCGGUGGUGCAACAGCACCCAGGCUGCCCCAUCUACUCCAAACUGGGCCCCCCCACCCCCCCAUCAUCUGGACCAGGGGCAGCCAGCAGCCUGCAUGUCCUGGGGCUGCUGGCUCUGAAGGAAGUGGAAGAGAUAGGUAACUGGGAUUGAGGGGAAAGCCACCUUUUCCACCUGUCUGAGCAAGGGGUGGGCUCUAACCGCAGGAUUGGCGCCUCAGCAGUACUGACAGUACCUAGUUCACAGAUGUUAAAAAAAAUACACAAAAUAAAGUAUCAACAUUUGUCCCCGACCUAAUAACUCUCCAAAGAGAGGACAAGUGCUCUGAAGAAUCAGAGGUCUGUGCUGCUCCUGCUCCCUGUGCAGAAGUACCUGGCACCUGGCACCAUGCCCCGGUGGCAGGGAAAAACAGAACAGUCUGGUGGGCAGCUCAGUCCCAAGUAAAAACACCCAGCCUAUGAUACUAAGCAGGAAAGGGCUGAUGGCAGCUGCUUGGAACCUGGGCUGAAAGCCCAAGAGGAAGACCAGUGAGAUAGUAAGCAAGCUCUAUAUACAGCUCUUGUCAGGAUCGCAGGGACACAGAUGGUGGGAGAAGCCAGAAGAGUUCACAGGGGACAGGUGCGGCAGAACUGGUGUGGAUGGUGGGUUUCCUUAGGACAGGACCGAGGACCGGGACUGAGCGAGGGAGCCUAGUUUGGCAAGAAAAUGAAAAAUAACAGGAGCAGGGGGUCCAGGUGUGGAGCCUCUUCAGCAAGAGCAGUUCAGAGUCUCUGCUCUGUCCCAGACAGACCACCUGGCCCAGGGCAGGCUGCAAAUGUGGUGGGGGCACGUGGGGAGGGUGCUACCCGCCCUAGAGUAAGUAGUGUGGCAAACAUUGGGGUUCACUCCCCACCAUGGGUUACCAGUGUCUGGAGUCCACCAGCUCAGGUCGGAGGCUGAGUUUCUUGAGGCUCUCGUAGCCAACCACGAUGACAAUGGUAGAGGGCGUGGCAGAGAUAAUUCUGGCCGAGAGGCCCUUCAUGAGGCCCCAAGGCCCCUCUUCGGCUAUCAGCUGUCGGAAGGUCAGGGUGAUGGAGCUCUUGCCUUCCACCUGGAAACGCAACAGAGCAGAAGGCUGUGGUCUGCAGUCAAAGCCGCUCAGCACAGUCUUCCUCUGCCUUGGGCUACCAUGGGAAGAAGCCCCCUUGGAGUCUGGGGGCUGGAUUGUGCUUGUGAGGGCCAGUGCGGCACGGGGCUGCCUGCCCAGGCAGAGUUCCGCUCCCUGGCUUCCUGACAGUGCAACCUCAGGGGGUGUACCCACUUCUCUGCACCUCAGUCCCCUCAGGGGUGAAACAGCAACGGGGCAUACCGCCCCCCGUGGUUGUUCUGAGCAGUCAACACUGCUGAGAACAGCACCUGGCAGACGCUCGAGUUCUGUAACCUCCAGCUAUUAUUACCACGAGGUAAGCCAAUCAGCUAGGGUCCUUGGACUAGAUGCUGCUCUCUGGCCCCGGGGAGACUGGGUCCUCGCGGCCUUGCCAGUCUGUUAUUUCCAUUCCAUCUCAGUCCCUCAGUUCCACCAGCUGGAGUCCUCCCCUGAUCUGUCACCCCCACAUACCCCGGGACCUGUCUUCCCUACCACACUGCAAGUUUGGCUAAGGCAAGAAUUUUCUGUUCCUUUUCAGCAGUACUGCCCCCUUCCCCUGACCACCCGUCCCCGGCCACCAAAACACACUUCGCCCCGCUCAGGCCCCACACAGACCCUCAACCACUGCAGGACACGGACUCCUUGACACACCUCCCUAGACUGGAUGAUGCUCACAGGGGACCUCUGGCCCUACUCCUCCCCACCUCCUUUAGCAUCCUCCUCUAUCCUCCCCUCUUCCUCUCCAGAAUCUCCUCUGACCACCCAUGCCCCCCUAGCCCUCCCACUCAUCCACAGCCGAGUCCAAGGCCAUUCCAGCAAGGCCUCUGGCCCUCAUAUGCACUUUGUCCUCUCCAGCCUGGGAGCGCCUCAGAAGUAGAGACCUGUCCUCUCCCUGGGAUCUCCUCCUACAACACUCAAAACAAACCUCCAAGGAGAAUGCAGAGGGAACCUGUGUGCUUUGCUAUUUGCAAACCAACCAGAUGCCCAUUUAUUCAUUUAAAACACCACCAAGGGCUGUCAGUGUCUCUGCUGAGUCCACACGGCACAGUCCAGGAGACCUUCUCGAGAACAACCCAUAGAGGACUCACAGCCCAGCAGAGAAACCAGACUUACAGAAUUCACUGAGAUGGCUAUUUCUAAUACCACAAGGUAAGGAAAAGGUGUCUGAUGGGCUCUGCUAACAGGAUGCAAGGCAGGGAGGAGCCAGUGAGGCAUGGUGAGGACAGGAGGAGGGCAUGCAAGCAGCAGACACCAUGAGGGAAACUAGGUGCUUCACAGUGCUCAGCUGGUUUCUAUAGAUGUUGAGUCCUAACCACAAGGAAGGGGCCGACCAGGACCAGGUUGGCUGGGACUAGGAGGCUAUGACACAGAGAGGUCAGGGAUUGCUGGGAAGCCUACAGUUACCCUUCUCACAGGGGUAGAGGCUGGCCUUACCUGCACUCGGGUUCGGAUGACAUCCAUGGGAUUGGUGAGGAUGGAAGCGGUGGCCGCAGCCAGGGGCCCCGAGACGGCUUGAAAGACAAUGUGCGGGCACUCUUUAGGACAGAGGUACGAGAGUUGCUCUGGAAUUGAGGGAAAGACAAUAAUACCUUAAGAUACGAGAUGCCAUUCAAUCUGCCCUCAUGCUGCCUCUAUGCCCAACAAGGAUGAACCCUCUUCAUCCUCAGUGUCCUUAGGCCCUGUAACUCCCAUCUUCUCUUUUUUUUCGCUUCCAUCCUAACCAACAAAAAAUGAUAAAUCUCAGGCCCCUUCUGGAAGCCAUGCUGGGUACAUUGCCCACUUCGAAUAGAAGAUUCCUUUGGAGAAGGGGUUUCAGAGCCUCUUUGCUUGCUGCUUUCAUCUGAUGGACAUAACUCCUUCCUGGUGUAAAAACCUUAUUGCCUGUGAUCUAUUCCUCUCAACACACAGCCAGGAAAGCACAUGAGGCUAUAUCAAGAAAGAAAAACUCAUUUUUCAAAAUACUGAUGGAAGUGAUGGCAGAGGACCGAGCCCCGUCCAUUCCCUGGUCACUGGAAAACUUACCUGCAGCUGAACUAUUUACUUUACCCUCUCUUGAGUUUCUUUCCAGGGAAACCAAGAGCUGCCUCUGCUUCCUAGGGUGCUGGUGGAGUGACAAGUGAAGAGGCUGGCCGGCACACUGUCGUCCCAGGACAAAUACAGCAAGGCUCGUGAAAACUGCUAAGCAGGGCAGAAUGGCAGAGCAGCAGAUUCUGUUCCAAGACCUGGUGUUGUGGGCACCUCCUCAGUUGUCAAGCUGAAGCACAAAGUACCAGUAUCUCCCUAGCAUGAAAUCCUAGGCAAAACCCAGUGUCCCGUUUCCCUUCUUUCUUCCAUCUCUUAUGUGUGCCCGGGGAUUCUAAAUUCCCAGAAGGAAGGCAGGGGACAACUCUCUCCGAGGCCAAAGCAGGUAACUCCUACCACUGCCAUGGUGACAGGAGAAGCCACUAAGGGUCUGGCCUCAGAUGGAGGAGCCUAGACAGUUAAAGAGGAGAGGGCCCUGCAAUCACUCCCUCUAUCCCUUCAAAAAGUGGGAUCUCGGGCAGAUCAGUGGCAACCACCGGGUGGCUCAGUGGUUUAGUGCCACCUUCAGCCCAGGGCCUGAUCCUAGAGACCUGGGAUCGAGUCCCACAUCGGGCUUCCUGCAUGGAGCCUGCUUCUCCCUCUGCCUGUCCCUGUCUCUCUCUCUCUCUCUGUCUCUCAUGAAUAAAUAAAAUCUUAAAAAAAAAAAAAGUGGGAUCUCAACCUGCUCUUUGUUACAUAACGUCCAAACUUCCUACUGAAAUAUCAAAACGAGUUCCUCCAGACGCCUGGGUGGCUCAGUGGUUGAGUGUCUGCCUUCAGCUCAGGGCGCGGUCCUGGGGUCCUAGAUGGAGUCCCACA